AUUGAACGCUGGCGGCAGGCCUAACACAUGCAAGUCGAGCGGGGUUUUCGGACCUAGCGGCGGACGGGUGAGUAAUGCGUAGGGAGCUACCCGAUAGAGGGGGAUACCAGUUGGAAACGACUGUUAAUACCGCAUAAUGUCUACGGACCAAAGUGUGGGACCUUCGGGCCACAUGCUAUCGGAUGUGCCUACGUGGGAUUAGCUAGUUGGUGAGGUAAUGGCUCACCAAGGCGACGAUCCCUAGCUGGUUUGAGAGGAUGAUCAGCCACACUGGAACUGAGACACGGUCCAGACUCCUACGGGAGGCAGCAGUGUGGAAUAUUGGACAAUGGGCGCAAGCCUGAUCCAGCCAUGCCGCGUGUGUGAAGAAGGCCUUCGGGUUGUAAAGCACUUUCAGUAAGGAGGAAGCGUUGAGUGUUAAUAGUACUCAGCGUUGACGUUACUUACAGAAGAAGCACCGGCUAACUCUGUGCCAGCAGCCGCCGUAACAC
rnacentral:rRNA from 1 species